UACGGAGGAUGCAAGCGUUAUCCGGAAUGAUUGGGCGUAAAGGGUCCGCAGGUGGCAGUGUGAGUCUGCUGUCAAAGAAUGAGGCUUAACCUUAUCAAGGCAGUGGAAACUACACAGCUAGAGUACGGUCGGGGUAGAAGGAAUUCCUGGUGUAGCGGUGAAAUGCGUAGAGAUCAGGAAGAACACCGGUGGCGAAAGCGUUCUGCUAGACCUGUACUGACACUGAGGGACGAAAGCUAGGGGAGCGAAUGGG
rnacentral:rRNA from 1 species